rnacentral:rRNA from 1 species
CCUACGGGAGGCUGCAGUGGGGAAUAUUGGACAAUGGGCGGAAGCCUGAUCCAGCAACGCCGCGUGAGGGAUGACGGCCUUCGGGUUGUAAACCUCUUUCAGCACCGACGAAGCGCCUUUUGGGUGGUGACGGUAGGUGCAGAAGAAGGACCGGCCAACUACGUGCCAGCAGCCGCGGUAAUACGUAGGGUCCGAGCGUUGUCCGGAAUUAUUGGGCGUAAAGGGCUCGUAGGCGGUUUGUCGCGUCGGGAGUGAAAACACCGGGCUUAACUCGGUGCUUGCUUUCGAUACGGGCAGACUAGAGGUAUGCAGGGGAGAACGGAAUUCCUGGUGUAGCGGUGAAAUGCGCAGAUAUCAGGAGGAACACCGGUGGCGAAGGCGGUUCUCUGGGCAUUACCUGACGCUGAGGAGCGAAAGUGUGGGGAGCGAACAGGAUUA